UUUACUUGUUUUGUUUGUUUGACUCGGAAUUUCCACUUAAAAAAUCAAGAGUUUGGGUUGGGCGCUCCGCCGGCGGGCACCCGGCCGCGGGGGGCCGGGCCGGGGGCCCCUCCCAGGGGCCGCCCGCCGAGGGAACUCGACAAGAGGUAGGUUCGCAUGGGGUGUUACAGAGUUUGCACUGUGUAAUGAUCCCUCCGCUGGUUCACCAACGGAGA
rnacentral:misc_RNA from 1 species